AUGAUCUCUAUUAACACUCCUCCUGUGAAGAUGAUUGAACUUCCAAGCAUUUUAGGAUGCAAGAUUGGUAAUCUGCCACUUAAUUAUCUGGGGCUCCCUCUAUGUCUAUCUAGGCCUAAAAUUGAGGAUUUUAUACCUUUGCUUCAAAGGAUUGAGAAGAGACUGCUAAGCUGCUCUACCAUGUUGUCCACUGGGGACAAACUCACCCUCAUAAAAUCCAUCUUCACAAGUAUGCCCACUUUUUUCAUGAGCACUCUGAUGAUACCCAAAACAGUUGUCAAGCAAAUCAACACUUACCUCAUGAACUACUUUUGGAGAAGAUAUGGUACCUUGGAUAGAGGCUCUGUACUAAUUGCCUGGGACAAAGUUAACAGACCUAAAAACCAUGGUGGACUUGGGGUUUUAGGUCUCCACAUACAUAACAAGGCACUCCUCCUGAAAUUCUUGCAUAAGUUCUUCAACAAAGUGGACACACCAUGUGUACAUAUCAUUUGGGAAAAGCACUACCAUAACAGGCUACCUGGGGAGCAGAAAGUGAGAUCUUUCUGA
rnacentral:rRNA from 1 species